AUUGAACGCUGGCGGCAUGCCUUACACAUGCAAGUCGAACGGCAGCACGGGUGCUUGCACCUGGUGGCGAGUGGCGAACGGGUGAGUAAUACAUCGGAACAUACCUUAUCGUGGGGGAUAACGCAGCGAAAGCUGUGCUAAUACCGCAUACGCCCUGAGGGGGAAAGCGGGGGAUCGCAAGACCUCGCGCGAUUAGAGCGGCCGAUGCCUGAUUAGCUUGUUGGUGGGGUAAAAGCCCACCAAGGCGACGAUCAGUAGCUGGUCUGAGAGGACGAUCAGCCACACUGGGACUGAGACACGGCCCAGACUCCUACGGGAGGCAGCAGUGGGGAAUUUUGGACAAUGGGGGCAACCCUGAUCCAGCAAUGCCGCGUGAGAGAAGAAGGCCUUCGGGUUGUAAAGCUCUUUUGUCAGGGAAGAAACACCGGCUCUAACACAGUCCGGGAAUGACGGUACCUGAAGAAUAAGCACCGGCUAACUACGUGCCAGCCGCCGCCGUAA
rnacentral:rRNA from 1 species